AUAAAAAACUAAGAGCACACCUAAGUGGUCUGCUAGUUGCCGAGGUCACGAGCUGCGACCGCGGCAGACCUAAUAAAAAGGAGGUUCCCCGGCCCUUUUAACUGAGUGCCGUCUCCGCAACGCGUUGCCACGCCACGACUCGAUUCAGUUCGAGUACAACUGGCGUCUAAUUCUGGGAUCGAUCGCGGUAACAACAGGCGGAAUAAUGAGCUAGCUGCCACCAGAGGCUAAAGUUGCUCUCCUCCUCCUUCUGCUGUGCGUAGGCACACGUUCUCCUAGUCUAAUAAGGGGACGGGGCCAACGAUAGGAGAACGUGUAGGAAAAGCCGUGAAGCCCAAACGUCCUAUGUCUCCUGAGACACGCCUAUACCCGCUACGCCCACUUUAAGUAGAAGUCUAACGUCCAGGGAGAGCGGGAGGUAGAACUUAAGAACUAUGACCUUGAAAGAACACCAACAUCCGGCGACCUAGGUAAACGGCCUGAUUAGCCGGCCGCUACGUCCAUGUGCUCCGCUUCUACUUCGAGCUCGGCAUCGACCGUUACCGUGCAGGGGCCGCGGUGGCAGCCACAGCCUCGCGCAUGUUACCACCCGCCACCACGAGCAGUUGUAGCACGAGCACGAACGGCCCGUCUCGCACCGCUUGGAGGAGCCGUCCUAGAUGAUGCUGGUCCCGCCGCCGUCGAACACCUACCGGUGCCACCAAGUCAGGACGCCGUGCGGCGAGCGGUAGGGCGACGAGGAGAUGAAGCCCGCGGCGGGUUUCCGGUGGCGCUGGCGCCACUGCGCCGGCGGCGAGGAGUUCUAGAGCCGGUAGAUGCGGCCGGACCCCCAGGAGGAGCGGCCGCUGUUGGACUACAUGAGGAUGCGCGACGAGAUGGACGGCGACAGCUGGAUGAGCGAGCAGACGCGCUGCGUCGAGAGGAAGUUGCGGCAGAAGAGGAUGAAGGAGUUGUUCGUCUUCAAGUGGCGCGAGUAGGAGUUGAGGCAGCACGACGAGUGGAAGAGGCGCCGCGAGCAGCCGCACUCGGUGCCGAGCCUGCCCUGGUUGUCGUCGCAGGGCGGCCCCUUCAAGGGCGACCCCAAGCGCGACUGCGACAGCCGCAGCCGCGAGAAGAGGGACUAGGACAGGGACUACGUCGACUGGAAGCUGUUCCACGAGUCCUCGCUGUGGAAGAUACUGCACUACCUCUACGUCAAGACCUCGUUGUGGCGGCGCCGGUAGCACAGCCACCGGCCCGACAAGUAGAGGCCGCUCACCUCGUGGGACGUGCCGCUCUACCUGCCCAUGUUCUUCCCGUCCCACCGGAUGCCCUACUGCGACCGCACCUGCCGGUAUAGCACCGUCGACUGGUGGUACCCGGACUACCCCGAGCAGCGCAGCCACAGCAGCGAGAAGUGGUUGCACUAGUCGUGGCACCCCAACGGCGACAGCGGGUAGUAGCGGCAGUAGAAGGAGCCGCUGGCCUACCUGCCUCACUUCCACGACCGGUACGAGCAACGGCAUACCCCGAAGAACAGGAUGUAGAUGGUCGUGAUGGAACUACUACGGUUCCACUUCUUCUAUGACCGACUCUCUAGUCGGCUUGUGGCCUGACAUUUUGAGCGAUGUCUCACUUGUCUUAAGCGGCCUUAAGCUCAACUGUGAGACGAGUGGUCUGACAUUUUGAUCGACACCUAUCCUGAAGGAUAUCCACGGUUGAGAUACUACUCGAAACGAUGGCAAAAUUGAGUGCUCCACGGCACCGUAGAAAAACAACCAAUACUAGCGUCCGAAGUGUAGCUUUAAGUCCCCGCACACACCCUCUAAUCCCCCCUAAAUACAUACAUACGGUAUCAAAACAUGACAUGUAGGCAUAGUUGUGCACACUAAAAAAAAUCUUAAAAACUUUGAAGUUUUACUCUAAAAAUUUAAAACUUUUAUUUCACGAGGUACUUCGAGCC
rnacentral:rRNA from 1 species